GCCACUGUUAUCUCAUCUAGGGGUCUGAAGGUCCACUGAUAUCUCAUCUAGGGGUCUGAAGGUUCACUGUUAUCUCAUCUAGGGGUCUGAAGGUUCCCUGUUAUCUCAUCUAGGGGUCUGAAGGUUCACUGUUAUCUCAUCUAGGGGUCUGAAGGUUCACUGUUAUCUCAUCUAGGGGUCUGAAGGUCCACUGAUAUCUCAUCUAGGGGUCUGAAGGUCCACUGUUAUCUCAUCUAGGGGUCUGAAGGUUCACUGUUAUCUCAUCUAGGGGUCUGAAGGUUCACUGUUAUCUCAUCUAGGGGUCUGAAGGGCCACUGUUAUCUCAUCUAGGGGUCUGAAGGUUCACUGAUAUCUCAUCUAGG